AGAGUUUGAUCCUGGCUCAGAGCGAACGCUGGCGGCGUGCUUAACACAUGCAAGUCGAACGCGCAGCAUUCUGUAGCAAUACAGGGUGUGGGCGCGUGGCGAACGGGUGCGUAACACGUGGAUAACCUUCCUUGAGGUGGGGAAUAACCCAGUGAAAAUUGGGCUAAUACCGCAUAACAUCGCGAUGGCACAUGCUGAUGCGAUCAAAGGCGCAAGUCGCCACAAGAGGGAUCCGCGGCCGAUUAGCUUGUUGGCGAGGUAAUGGCUCACCAAGGCAAUGAUCGGUAGCCGGACUGAGAGGUUGGCCGGCCACACUGGAACUGAGACACGGUCCAGACUCCUACGGGAGGCAGCAGUGGGGAAUCUUGCACAAUGGACGAAAGUCUGAUGCAGCAACGCCGCGUGGGGGAUGAAGCUUCUCGGAGUGUAAACCCCUUUCGACCCGGAAGAAUGCCCGCAAGGGUAUGACGGUACGGGUAUAAGAAGCCCCGGCUAACUACGUGCCAGCAGCCGCGGUAAUACGUAGGGGGCCAGCGUUGCUCGGAAUUACUGGGCGUAAAGGGUCCGUAGGCGGUGUAGCAAGUCGAUAGUGAAAUCUCUGGGCUUAACCCAGAGGCUGCUAACGAAACUGCUGUGCUAGAGUGUGAGAGAGGCGAGUGGAAUUACGGGUGUAGCGGUGAAAUGCGUAGAUAUCCGUAGGAACAUCCGAGGCGAAGGCGGCUCGCUGGAUCACAACUGACGCUGAGGGACGAAAGCUAGGGGAGCAAACAGGAUUAGAUACCCUAGUAGUCC
rnacentral:rRNA from 1 species